GAUGAACGCUGGCGGCGUGCCUAAUACAUGCAAGUCGAGCGAAUGGAUUAAGAGCUUGCUCUUAUGAAGUUAGCGGCGGACGGGUGAGUAACACGUGGGUAACCUGCCCAUAAGACUGGGAUAACUCCGGGAAACCGGGGCUAAUACCGGAUAACAUUUUGAACCGCAUGGUUAGAAAUUGAAAGGCGGCUUCGGCUGCCCCUUAUGGAUGGACCCGGGUCGCAUUAGCUAGUUGGUGAGGUAACGGCUCACCAAGGCAACGAUGCGUAGCCGACCUGAGAGGGUGAUCGGCCACACUGGGACUGAGACACGGCCCAGACUCCUACGGGAGGCAGCAGUAGGGAAUCUUCCGCAAUGGACGAAAGUCUGACGGAGCAACGCCGCGUGAGUGAUGAAGGCUUUCGGGUCGUAAAACUCUGUUGUUAGGGAAGAACAAGUGCUAGUUGAAUAAGCUGGCACCUUGACGGUACCUAACCAGAAAGCCACGGCUAACUACGUGCCAGCCGCCGCAGUAA
rnacentral:rRNA from 1 species